GACGAACGCUGGCGGCGUGCUUAACACAUGCAAGUCGAGCGGUAAGGCCCUUUCGGGGGUACGACGAGCGGCGAACGGGUGAGUAACACGUGGGUGACCUGCCCUCAGCUCUGGGAUAAGCCUGGGAAACUGGGUCUAAUACUGGAUAUGACUCCACGGUGCAUGUCGUGGGGUGGAAAGCCUUGUGCGGCUGAGGAUGGGCCCGCGGCCUAUCAGCUUGUUGGUGGGGUGANGGCCUACCAAGGCGACGACGGGUAGCCGGCCUGAGAGGGCGACCGGCCACACUGGGACUGAGACACGGCCCAGACUCCUACGGGAGGCAGCAGUGGGGAAUCUUGCGCAAUGGGCGAAAGCCUGACGCAGCGACGCCGCGUGCGGGAAGAAGGCCU
rnacentral:rRNA from 1 species